rnacentral:rRNA from 1 species
GACGUAGGGCGCGAGCGUUGUCCGGAUUUAUUGGGCGUAAAGAGCUCGUAGGCGGCUCGUUGCGUCAACCGUGAAAACCCGGGGCUUAACUUCGGGCUUGCGGUUGAUACGGGCGGGCUGGAGUUCGGUAGGGGAGACUGGAAUUCCUGGUGUAGCGGUGAAAUGCGCAGAUAUCAGGAGGAACACCGGUGGCGAAGGCGGCUACCUGGACCAGCACUGACACUGAGGCACGAAAGCGUGGGGAGCAAACAGG